CUUUCUUGCCCGUCAAGCUCGCAGCCACCCGGGCGCGGCGGGACUCCUAGACCCGGCGCUGCGAUGAAGAGGACCCGCGACGAGGUGGAUGCGACGCUGCAGAUCGCCAAGCUGAACGCGGCCGAGCUGCUGCCGGCGGUGCACUGCCUGGGCUUCGGCCCUGGGGCUAGCGGCGCUGCCGCCGGCGACUUCUGCCUGCUGGAGCUGGAGCCUACGCUGUGCCAGCAGCUGGAGGAUGGACACAGUCUUGUGAUUCGUGGUGAUAAAGACGAGCAAGCUGUGCUGUGCAGUAAAGACAAAACAUACAACUUGAAGAUAGCAGACACUUCCAAUAUGUUGCUUUUCAUUCCUGGUUGUAAAACUCCAGACCAGUUGAAGAAGGAAGAUUCACACUGUAACAUUAUUCACACUGAGGUGCUCUUUUCUGUACUCUGAUUUAUAAAAGUCUGAGAAUGAAAACAUAUGGUAAUUUGGUCUUUAGUUAAAAAGUUUACAUGUAAAAUCUAUAAUCAGGGAGCAUCUAAGAAGUUCUUUAAAGAAAUUUGAAUUUCUCAGCAUUAUUAUUAUUGCGUGUUUGUUGGAGUCUUGUGAACUUGUCUGUUUUCUCCUAUUUUGAUUUUCAAGUCCCAAUUUGAUCUUUUUUCUAUAAUGUGCAAAGUUUGUUAUUCAAUGAAUCAUUCUAAAAAUUCUACCUA
rnacentral:sRNA from 1 species